rnacentral:rRNA from 1 species
UAGGGAAGUCUUCCACAAUGGACGGCAAGUCUGAUGGAGCAACGCCGCGUGAGUGAAGAAGGUCUUCGGAUCGUAAAACUCUGUUGUUAGAGAAGAACACGAGUGAGAGUAACUGUUCAUUCGAUGACGGUAUCUAACCAGCAAGUCACGGCUAACUACGUGCCAG